rnacentral:rRNA from 1 species
GACGAACGCUGGCGGCGUGCUUAACACAUGCAAGUCGAACGGUGAAGCGCCUUCCUUUUUGGUGGGUGUGGAUGAGUGGCGAACGGGUGAGUAACACGUGAGUAACCUGCCCCCUUCUUCUGGAUAACCGCAUGAAAGAGUGGCUAAUACGGGAUAUUCUGGGUCUGUCGCAUGAUGGGUCUGGGAAAGAUAUUGUUUCGGUGGGGGAUGGGCUCGCGGCCUAUAAGCGUGUUGGUGGGGUGAUGGCCUACCAAGGCGGUGACGGGUAGCCGGCGUGAGAGGGUGGACGGUCACACUGGGACUGAGACACGGCCCCGACUCCUACGGGAGGCAGCGGUGUAGAGUAUUGCACACUGGGCGCAAGCCUGAUGCAGCGACGCCGCGUGAGGGAUGGAGGCCUUCGGGCUGUGAACCUCUUUCGCCAGUGAAGCAGGCCUGCCUCGUUUGUGGGUGGGUUGACGGUAGCUGGAUAAGAAGCGCCGGCUAACUACGUG